GUGGAAUCAUUUCCACACAAACUUGACUAAUGAAACCAGUGUGCGGAAAUGCUUCUGCUA
rnacentral:pre_miRNA from 1 species